UCCCGCAUGUGGUCGUGAGAUGGCAUUUGACCACGACUAAAGGUAUUUUCCGGUUCGGGAUGGGGAUGCGUCCGAUUAGGCAGCAGGCGGGGUAACGGCCCACCUGGCCAUCGAUCGGUAGGGGUUCUGAGAGGAAGGUCCCCCACAUUGGAACUGAGACACGGUCCAAACUCCUACGGGAGGCAGCAGUGAGGAAUAUUGGUCAAUGGGCGGUAGCCUGAACCAGCCAAGUAGCGUGUGGGACGACGGCCCUAUGGGUUGUAAACCACUUUUUCGCGGGGAUAACAUCCGGGACUUGUCCCGGCUUGCAGGUACCGCGUGAAUAAGGACCGGCUAAUUCCGUGCCAGCAGCCGCGGUAAUACGGAAGGUCCGGGCGUUAUCCGGAUUUAUUGGGUUUAAAGGGAGCGCAGGCCGGGUGCUAAGCGUGCUGUGAAAUGCCGCGGCUCAACCGUGGCAGUGCAGCGCGAACUGGCUCUCUUGAGUGUGCGGUAGGAAGGCGGAAUUCGUGGUGUAGCGGUGAAAUGCUUAGAUAUCACGAAGAACCCCGAUUGCGAAGGCAGCUUUCCGCAGCAUUACUGACGCUGAGGCUCGAAGGUGCGGGUAUCGAACAGGAUUAGAUACCCUGGUAGUCCGCACGGUAAACGAUGGAUGCCCGCUGUGCGCCUUUUCUGGUGCGCGGCCAAGCGAAAGCGUUAAGCA
rnacentral:rRNA from 1 species